CUAUUCAAAGUUUCAUACUUUGAAUUAUGAUUUCUAUUUUAAAAAUUUAAGUAUAGUUUUUAUUUUCAAAUUGAAUUCAAUUGGUAAAAGGACACCUAAAAUUUUGUUUCAAGGAGUACGAGGGGAAACAUGAAUCACUAAUUCAAGAUAACUGGAACCUUUUAGAAAAUUCGAUAGGGUCCUUUUUGGGGUAUAGUGUAUUACUUUUGUAUUAUAGCAUUGCCUUACAUCUUCCUGAAAUUACGAACCAAAUGUGCGAAUAUUGAAAUUCUUUGCGUAUUCUCACCAUGACAGAUUGAACCAAACGCCUCGUAAAGUUUUUCACUAUAGAGCUUGCAUUCCCAUUGCAUUCAGUUAAGGCCGAGAGAACUGCUUUUGGCAGGUUCAAACUAGUGCAAAUUCAAAUGCCUGGUGUCAAAUGCCUGGUGUUAUUUUUAUUUAAUGCAGACUCUUCCUGCUGUCACUGAUCUUCCUGAUCUUGUAAGAAGACAUCUUUGUGUUCCCAUUUUGAGUCAUCACACCCAAGCCCUAUUACACUGUUGCAGAUACUUAAUGGUAGAUAUCUUCCAUGUGGUAUCGUCAUUCCAUCAGGGACAUUUUAUACCUGUAUCUUAUUGUUGAUAAAAUUCAUUGCAUGAAUGCAAACACGUGGAGUAAUCGUCAUUCCAUCAGGGACAUUUUAUACCUGUAUCUUAUUGUUGAUAAAAUUCAUUGCAUGAAUGCAAACACGUGGAGUAAUUGACUUAUGUACAUUCCUUAGUACUGGCUGUGUUUUUUUCUUAAUUUCAGGGAAGAAUAUCAUGUUCAGUAAUUGUUAAUCCACACAAACAGGAAAUCAUUCGUCAUGAUUGCUACCCUGAGUAAUGGUUGAUAAGGGGCAUCAUGCUGAUUAAUAAUACAACGGACAUCGUUCACGCCUUUAUUAUGGUAACUUGGAAGCUCUGGGCCUGUAAAUAAAGUAUGUGUCUGUAUAUAUCAUACAAGCCCAAAAUUAGUAGCUUUGUUGCUAAACAGUGCAUUAAUUUUGUGAAUAAAAGCUGCUAGCUGUUCGUUUCUAAUUUAUCUAGCGUGCUAAUUGCUGGAAUAAGAAACUAUUCUUUUUUCUUUUCUUUUCUUUUCUUUUUUUCUUAGUGCUUCCAUAAUUCUUUUGUAUUCUGGGACUGCAUGUGAUAAACCACAUCGAUGUGCUACAGUCUAGUAAUCUUACAAUGAAGUACCAACAAAUCUAUAUGAACGUAAAUGUAUUUAUACGGACUUUGUGCAAAUGUACACCUGUGGCUUGAUCUCA